rnacentral:rRNA from 1 species
GAUGAACGCUGGCGGCGUGCCUAAUACAUGCAAGUCGAGCGAACAGACGAGGAGCUUGCUCCUCUGACGUUAGCGGCGGACGGGUGAGUAACACGUGUAUAACCUACCUAUAAGACUGGGAUCACUUCGGGAAACCGGAUCUCAUACCGGAUAAUAUAUUGAACCGCAUGGUUCAAUAGUCAAAGACGGUUUUGCUGUCACGUAUAGAUGGAUCCGCGCCGCAUUAGCUAGUUGGUAAGGUAACGGCUUACCAAGGCGACGAUGCGUAGCCGACCUGAGAGGGUGAUCAGUCACACUGGAACUGAGACACGGUCCAGACUCCUACGGGAGGCAGCAGUAGGGAAUCUUCCGCAAUGGGCGAAAGCCUGACGGAGCCACGCCGCGUGAGUGAUGAAGGUCUUCGGAUCGUAAAACUCUGUUAUUAGGGAAGAACAAAUGUGUAAGUAACUAUGCACGUCUUGACGGUACCUAAUCAGAAAGCAACGGCUAACUACGUG